GGUACGAAACAAGUAUUUAUUUGUCCUUUGAUUUAGUAAAGAGAAGGAAGAACCUAGGAUGAAGAUGAAAAAUAAGAAGGCAAGAAUUUUGCCUGUAAUAUUUGAUCUGUACGCUUUACAUGUUCUAAGAGAAAUAAGUAUUUAAUGGAUGAUAAUUAUGCUAACAACGGUUUAUUUGGAUUCAUGGGCCCAAAAUCCCUUAUGAUUCAUGAUCUAGACCUAUACAAUUAGAAAAAAUAAGGAUGAAUUAAGUUUUUAUUUAGAAAUACCCGGG
rnacentral:lncRNA from 1 species